rnacentral:lncRNA from 1 species
UAUCGAACUUAUCCUCUGGUAAUCUUUUUUUUUUUUGAGACAGAGUCUUGCUCUGUCGCCAGGCCGGAGUGCAGCGGUGCGAUCUCGGCUCGCUGCAACCUCUGCCUCCCGGGUUCGAGCGAUUCUCCUGCCUCAGCCUCCCAACACUGUGGGAGGCCAAGGUGGGAGGAUCACCUGAGCCCAGGAGUUUGAGGCUGUAGUGAACUAUGAUCACAUGACUGCAUUCUAGCCUGGGUGACAAAGUGACACCCUGCCUCUAAACAAAAAUCAAGCAACAAAAAACUUGUUAUUUCCCUGCAGCUUUGGGAAGCCAGAACACAAUUUUGCAGUGAACCUGAAUUUUCUGUGACAAAUAAAUUACUAAAUUGGCACAUAUGAUCAUCACCAGUCAUGUCUCAUCAAAAGCCUCUAUUAAGAUGCUUGUAAAAUUUGAAGAAUUUAGAAGUGAUGAGAAGUUAACCCCUUAGUCAUGUAACAUAAUCAUAUUUCAAUCAGCUUUUUCUUUUGCUACCAAGAGUUUCAAAAAAUGAAUGCAGUAUUUGAUUUCAGGCUUCUAAAUGUGCUCAUUUAGCACUCAUUCCUUGAUGUAGACAAUAAAAGAAAAAACCGAAUAGCAUUCUUUCCAGGAUAACUAUUGAAGCAGACAGCUAAGCCUCUAAACAUGAGCACUGUGGCACAUAUUUAAGGUUGCCACGGACAAGGAUCACACAACAGAGAACACUGUAGUAACAUUUUGGUCUGCUCAACAACACCCAGAACAUUUACCAGUUUUUGUUGUUGGUUUAUUAUUUUUCUGUUAAAAAAUUGUGAAAAGUUUGUUUUAGCUGGAUGAUAUUUUAAUAGUUGCCACUGUUUUGGAACUAUAAAGAUGUCACUACUUAACACAUAUACCUUAUGUUUUGUUUUGUUUUGUUUUACACUCAGUAUAAAUCAGGAAAAGUUAGCCAACCAUCCUCUUUUUUAUUGUCUUCUGAGGAUAUGGAUGUUCCCAUAACAGCAACAAAACAGCAACAAAAACAUUUCAUAAAUAUCACUUGAUAGACUCUAAGCACCUGCUUAACUUUGAAUGUGUCCCAAAUAUUUAGUGUGUGUGUAUAUAUAUAUAUAUAUUCAACAAAUAAAACAAACUAUAACAUGCAUUUCACAUUUUGUCUUUCCCUGUUAGGAUUUUAAUAGCAGAACUGUAUGACAAGUUUAGGUGAUCCUAGCAUAUGUUAAAUUCAAAUUAAUGUAAAACAGGUCAACAACAACAAAGAAACUUUCUAUUUGAGUGAAGUCAUGCUUUCUAUUAUAACUUGGCUUCGGUUAUCCAUCAAAUGCACACUUACACUGUUACCUGAUUGUUUAUAAUAAAGAAUACCGUACCUAUA